UCAUAUUAUAACAAUUUAUUUCAGACCCUUACUCAGUAGGAACGAACCUUUCAACUGACAAAACAAAUGUGAACCCUUUGUAAACCGUUUUAGGCAGCUGUGAAUAGUAAGUUAAAGUACAAGAAGUGAAAAGUAUUCUUCUCGUUUAAAUUUUUCUACAAACUGUUCAAUAAUUAUUAUUUCAUGAAAUUUGAUCAUUUCUACUUUUACGUUCCGAACACGAAAUGUAGUGUUUACCAAAAACUACAUAAUAACAGAUUUUUGUCACGCUACCAUUUCAGAAUCCAGGAACGAGCCUCAUGAAAUUGAAAUGAAGAUCACGAGAAAAGACACAGACCUCCGCCACUGUGAGAUACUGCUGUAACCAGAUAUUUUAAGCUAUCUUAAUGAACAAUUUGACUAGUAAUAGUAUCAACCUACCACUGAAGAUGGUAAACAUUGUGCACCGUACCGAACAGUAGAACCGGUGUCCCUUUUAACAUUUUAAGAAAUGCAACCGAUUGAUAGAUGGAACCGGAUUAAUCAUUUUGAACGUUUUCAUAAAUCUGCAUUUAUUGCUACUAUAUCAUAUUAUAACAAUUUAUUUCAGACCCUUACUCAGUAGGAACGAACCUUUCAACUGACAAAACAAAAUGUGAACCCUUUGUAAACCUUGUUAGGCAGCUGUGAAUAGUAAGUACAAGAAGUGAAAAAUAUUCUUCUCGUUUAAAUUUUUGUACAAACUGUUCAAUAAUCAUUAUUUCAUGAAAUGUGAUCAUUUCUACUUUUACGUUCCGAACACGAAAUAUGGUGUUUACCAAAAACUACAUAAUAACAGAUUUUUGUCACUUGACCAUUUCAGAAUCCAGGAACGAGCCUCAUGAUAUUGAAAUGAAGAUCACGAAAAAAGACAAGGACCUCCGCCACUACCCUUACUCAGUAGGAACGAACCUUUCAACUGACAAAACAAAAUGUGAACCCUUUGUAAACCUUUUUAGGCAGCUGUGAAUAGUAAGUUAAAGUACAAGAAGUAAAAAGUAUUCUUCUCGUUUAAAUUUUUCUACAAACUGUUCAAUAAUCAUUAUUUCAUGAAAUGUGAUCAUUUCUACUUUUACGUUCCGAACACGAAAUGUAGUGUUUACCAAAAACUACAUAAUAACAGAUUUUUGUCACGCUACCAUUUCAGAAUCCAGGAACGUGCCUCAUGAUAUUGAAAUGAAGAUCACGAGAAAAGACACAGACCUCCGCCACUGUGAGAUACUGCUGUAACCAGAUAUUUUAAGCUAUCUUAAUGAACAAUUUGACUAGUAAUAGUAUCAACCUACCACUGAAGAUGGUAAACAUUGUGCACCGUACCGAACAGUAGAACCGGUGUCCCUUUUAACAUUUUAAGAAAUGCAACCGAUUGAUAGAUGGAACCGGAUUAAUCAUUUUGAACGUUUUCAUAAAUCUGCAUUUCUUGCUACUAUAUCAUAUUAUAACAAUUUAUUUCAGACCCUUACUCAGUAGGAACGAACCUUUCAACUGACAAAACAAAAUGUGAACCCUUUGUAAACCUUGUUAGGCAGCUGUGAAUAGUAAGUACAAGAAGUGAAAAAUAUUCUUCUCGUUUAAAUUUUUGUACAAACUGUUCAAUAAUUAUUAUUUCAUGAAAUGUGAUCAUUUCUACUUUUACGUUCCGAACACGAAAUAUCAAAUAUGGUGUUUACCAAAAACUACAUAAUAACAGAUUUUUGUCACUCGACCAUUUCAGAAUCCAGGAACGAGCCUCAUGAUAUUGAAAUGAAGAUCACGAAAAAAGACAAGGACCUCCGCCACUGUGACAUACUGCUGUAACCAGACAUUUUAAGCUAUCUUAAUGAACAAUUUGACUAGUAAUAGUAUCAACCUACCACUGAGGAUGGUAAACAUUGUACACCGUACCGAACAGUAGAACCGGUGUCCCUUUUAACAUUUUAAGAAAUGCAACCGAUUGAUAAAUGGAAUCGGAUUUUUUUGAGAGAUAACUUUCAAUCAUUUUGAACGUUUUUAUUAAUCGGCAUUCACCGAGAAAUUUAGAGAUUUAUUUUGAAAUUUAAAAAAUAAAUGUUGUGUGGAGUGUGAUUAUUUUCUUUAAGGUGUGUAUUAUUACUUACCCUUUUUAACUGAUGUUUUUUAAAUAAUUAAUUUAAAUAGAUUUUACUUUACAAUUUACAUUACUUUUUUAAAGUAUUAAUUUAAAAGCACAUAGUUGUAUUACUUUUGACUUUUCAGUUUUACAUUACUUCGUUA